AAAGAAAAUAACAAUGAUUCCCCUAGUAACUGCGAGUGAAGAGGGACAAGCUCAAAUUUUAAAUCUGUUAGGUUUACCUGACCGAGUUGUAAUUUGAAGAAGCAUUAUCUGCGCAGGUUGGUCAGCCCAAGUCCUAUUGAAUGAGGCAUCAUGGAGGGUGAUAAUCCCGUCCGGUUGAUCGAUGCGUUUUACGAUACAGCUCUCAAAGAGUCAAGUUGUUUGGGAUUGCAGCUUAAAAUGGGAGGUAAAUUUCUCCUAAGGCUAAAUAUUGGCGAGAGACCGAUAGCGAACAAGUACCGUGAGGGAAAGAUGAAAAGUACUUUGAAAAGAGAGUUAAAUAGCACGUGAAAUUGUUGAAAGGGAAACGAUUGAAGCCAGUCGUACCGGCGGAUAAUCAGCCUUUCGGGUGCGAU
rnacentral:rRNA from 1 species